rnacentral:rRNA from 1 species
GACGAACGCUGGCGGCGUGCUUAACGCAUGCAAGUCGAACGGAAAGGCCCUGCUUUUGUGGGGUGCUCGAGUGGCGAACGGGUGAGUAACACGUGAGUAACCUGCCCUUGACUUUGGGAUAACUUCAGGAAACUGGGGCUAAUGCCGGAUAGGAGCUCCUGCUGCAUGGUGGGGGUUGGAAAGUUUCGGCGGUUGGGGAUGGACUCGCGGCUUAUCAGCUUGUUGGUGGGGUAGUGGCUUACCAAGGCUUUGACGGGUAGCCGGCCUGAGAGGGUGACCGGCCACAUUGGGACUGAGAUACGGCCCAGACUCCUACGGGAGGCAGCAGUGGGGAAUAUUGCACAAUGGGCGGAAGCCUGAUGCAGCAACGCCGCGUGCGGGAUGACGGCCUUCGGGUUGUAAACCGCUUUCGCCUGUGACGAAGCGUGAGUGACGGUAAUGGGUAAAGAAGCACCGGCUAACUACGUG